rnacentral:rRNA from 1 species
CGGGGGGAAACCCCUGACCGGCGAACGGGUGCGUAACACGUGAGCGACCUACCUUCCUGUGGGGGAUAGCCGGCCCAACGGCCGGGUAAUACCGCAUACGCUCUUUCCCGGGCAUCCGGGGGGGAGGAAACUUUUCGGGCGGGGAGAGGGGCUCGCGGCCUAUCAGCUAGUUGGCGGGGUGACGGCCCACCAAGGCGGCGACGGGUAGCUGGUCUGAGAGGAUGAUCAGCCACACUGGAACUGAGACACGGUCCAG